CCACUCUCUCUCCAUCGUCCACAUGCUAUUACGCUACAACAUCCUCGUUCUCGUCGGUGGUGGUCCCCACCCUCAGUUCCGACCAAUGUCGUCCUCAUAACCGCAAGCUGCAGCCAAUCCAAACCACGAGCAGACGGAUCUUCUUGCACUCUUCGUGCGCUGCUACCUGCCACCAACAUCACGCUGACACGCUAGUAGCAGCCGGUAACCUCGCCGUCCCCUCUACCUCUUUCCAUGUCUUCCAGAUUUGAUUGUAUCCAAAUUCGAAUAAUACAAACAUAUACAGUUAAAUAAGCCUAAUUCAGAGUUAUUUUACAAAAAUAUAUAGCUAGAAUCUUAUAAUAUACUCACUUUUAUAUUAAAUGACUUCUUUUUUUCCAAGUAUCCCUUGAUUUACUUGUUCUUGCUAAUCAAGGAGAUAAACUUGGAAUUUCUCGAUAUAAUCAGUCAAAUUUUGGAGCAUAGGACAUUAGAUAAAUUAUAGGAUUAGGGCCCACCCAUAAGCAACCAAAGUGCAUGCCACAAAUUAGUACAGAACCAAACAAUCAGAAAUUACUAAUGAGCCCCCAAGGAUGAAUGAUUCAAGUGUGUUUAAGAAGAAAAUCAAAGCGCAAAACAAGUAAUUUUCCCAUUAAUGUAACAAUUAAGUUUUUAAUUCAAGUUAGUUUGGAGGGAGAAAUGUCACAUUCAAAGAGUACACUUUAAUUUGGAUAUUGUUCCCUCCACUUCUUUUUACCCUCCUUAAGCUAUUAUGGGUUAGUUAAUGAUCACUUUUUGUCCUCCACCAUCUUUAAUAAUCUUCCAAACUGAACUUAACAAAUCUUCACAGUAUUCAUCUUCUUCCCCCACUUCACUUUCAAGCUUCAGGAAAGUAUGCACAGAGGUCAGAGGAUACUAAGAAGAGCAGCUUUUCGUCGAUCCGAAUGUUCUGCUGAGCUUAUCUGUAACUGAGAGGAACUUAUUUUCUGGCAUGUCAACACAACCAUCAUCUGCUAUUUGUACUGACUGUGAUGCUGCUCUGAUAUCCUCGUGCAUUGUCGAUAUCUCUCCCUGAGAUAGUUCCCCUUGAUCACAAGCGGACAAGUUAGUUGAUCCUGUACUGUACUCGGAGCUGCUUGGUGACUCGUACACAUCAUGCUGCCUGCAUAUUUCACGGGUUCAUCAGAAAAAAUUAAAAAGAAAUGAUAGUUAUUUGAUGUUACUUGGACUCUGGUACUCAUUUCAGACAUUUGUAUGUGUCCCAGGGUCGGCUGGUUUUUUAUUUUAAAAAGAAACAAAUAUCCCAUGUUUAUGGUCCAAAGUGAGGUGUCGAGUAUCCAUAUCCAUGUCAAACUGUGGAUUAUCCAACACAGGUAUUUGAAAAGGAUCAGUGAAACACAAGUUUUGUCCUACUGAAAAUUCUGAAUCCAGUUCAGCUUUAUAUUGUACCUCUGCGAUAAUGGAAUGUCAUCACUGCUACUUCUCAAACUCUCCACCAAGGCUUUGAAAUCAUCAAGUUGCAUAUCUGUA